rnacentral:rRNA from 1 species
AUUGAACGCUGGCGGCAUGCCUUACACAUGCAAGUCGAACGGCAGCGGGGACUUCGGUCCGCCGGCGAGUGGCGAACGGGUGAGUAAUGUAUCGGAACGUACCAUUCAGUGGGGGAUAACUAUCCGAAAGGAUAGCUAAUACCGCAUAUUCUGUGAACAGGAAAGCAGGGGAUCGCAAGACCUUGCGCUGAUUGAGCGGCCGAUAUCAGAUUAGCUAGUUGGUGAGGUAACGGCUCACCAAGGCUACGAUCUGUAGCGGGUCUGAGAGGAUGAUCCGCCACACUGGGACUGAGACACGGCCCAGACUCCUACGGGAGGCAGCAGUGGGGAAUUUUGGACAAUGGGCGCAAGCCUGAUCCAGUCAUGCCGCGUGAGUGAAGAAGGCCUUCGGGUUGUAAAGCUCUUUCGGCCGGGAAGAAAUCGCAUCAGCUAAUACCUGGUGUGGAUGACGGUACCGGAAUAAGAAGCACCGGCUAACUACGUGCCAGCCGCCGCUGUAAUAC